GGGUGUCCUGAAACGACCACAGUGGCUAUAAAGAUGCUUAAAACAAACGCUACUGAAUCGGACAAGAGAGAUUUGAUGAAAGAACUUGACACAAUGAAGCAGCUGAAACCACAGCCUUACGUCAUUAAACUUCUGGGAUGUGUUAC